rnacentral:rRNA from 1 species
AGUCGAGCGAGAAGCGAUCCUAGGGGCAGACGGGUGAGUACAUGUGGGAAUCUGCCUUUUGGCUCGGAACAACUCGGGGAAACCUGUGCUAAUACCGGAUAAGUCCUAACGGAGAAAGUUUUAAUGCCAAAAGAUGAGCCCGCAUUUGAUUAGCUAGUUGGUAAGGUAAAAGCUUACCAAGGCGACAAUCAAUAGCUGAUUUGAGAGGAUGAUCAGCCACACUGGGACUGAGAUACGGCCCACACUCCUACGGGAGGCAACAGUGGGAAAUCUUGCACAAUGGGCGAAAGCCUGAUGCAUCGAUGCCGCGUGAGUGAAGAACGCCUUUGGGUUGUAAAGCUCUUUUGUCGGGAAAGAUAAUGACUGUACCCGAAGAAUAAGGACCGGCUAACUUCGUGCCAGCAGCCGCGGUAAUACGAAAGGACCUAGCGUACUUCGGAAUUACUGGGCGUAAAGAGUAUGUAGGCGGCUAGAUAAGUUAAUUGUGAAAGCCCAGAGCUUAACUUUGGAAUUGCAAUUAAAACUAUUUAGCUGGAGUAUGAUAGAGGAAAACGGAAUACAUAGUGUAGAGGUGAAAUUCGUAGAUAUUAUGUAGAACACCAGUUGCGAAGGCGGCUUUCUGGAUCAUUACUGACGCUGAGAUACGAAAGUAUGGGUAGCGAAGAGGAUUAGAUACCCUCGUAGUCCAUACCAUAAACGAUGAUUAUUAGAUGUGGGGAAUUAUUUCUCUGUAUCAUAGCUAACGCGUUAAAUAAUCCGCCUGGGGAGAACGACCGCAAGGUUAAAACUCAAAUGAAUUGAUGGGCGACCGCACGAGCAGUG